UUGGGUGCAGAAAAGUCUACAGAAAGUAAUGGAAACCGCCCAGUCUAUCACAGGCAAAUCCCACCCCAGGAUUGAGAACACUGACAAGCAGCACUACCACAAGAACGGAGCGUCCGUCAUCAAGGACCCCCACCAUCCAGGCCAUGCUCGUUUCUCACUACCACCAUCGGGCAGGAGCUGGAUUUCAAUCAUUGCUGCCUCAUUGCCCUUCAGAACAGUGCAGCCUCAUGGUUACACAGAACUUGGAACAUGAGGAUGAUACAGAUGCAAGAUGGCAGAACAGGCGGUUUUCACGCUCCAUACUAAUCGUGUCGAUGCCAUGGAGAAGAAAGCUCACCAGCGCCUCUGCUACUCCAGGAGGCUAAAGAAAUCUGGCGUGUCCCCUCUGGCCCUCCCCACUGUUCAUUGAUGCACCAUAGAAACCAUCCUAUGCGGAUGCAUCGCCGCUUGGUAUGGCAAAUGCUCUGCGUGUGACCGCAAGAAACUGCAGAGAGUUGUGGACGCAGCGCAGCACAGCACAGAGACCAACCUCCCAUUUGUGGCCUCUGUCCAUACUUCUGACUGCCUCUGUAAUGCAGUCAACAUAAUCAAAGGCCCCACACACACGCACGUUCUCUCUUCCAUCAGGCAGAAGAUACAAAAGCCUGAAAGGAUGUACCACCAGGCUGAAGAAGACUUUCUAUCCCAUUGUUAUAAGACUAUUGAACUCUUCCUAAGAAUGAACUCUUGACCUCACAAUCUACAUCAUUAUGACCUGACACCUUAUUGUAUAUCUGCACUGCACUUUCUCUAUAACUAUAAUACUUCAUUCCGCACCAUUAUUGUUUCACCUUGUACUACCACAAUGCACUGUUGUAAUAAAUUGACCUGUAUAAAUGGUA